rnacentral:rRNA from 1 species
UACCAAGGCGACGACGGGUAGCCGGCCUGAGAGGGUGACCGGCCACACUGGGACUGAGAUACGGCCCAGACUCCUACGGGAGGCAGCAGUGGGGAAUAUUGCACAAUGGCGCAAGCCUGAUGCAGCGACGCCGCGUGAGGGAUGACGGCCUUCGGGUUGUAAACCUCUUUCAGCACAGACGAAGCGCAAGUGACGGUAUGUGCAGAAGAAGGACCGGCCAACUACGUGCCAGCAGCCGCGGUAAUACGUAGGGUCCGAGCGUUGUCCGGAAUUACUGGGCGUAAAGAGCUCGUAGGUGGUUUGUCGCGUUGUCCGUGAAAACUCACAGCUCAACUGUGGGCGUGCGGGCGAUACGGGCAGACUGGAGUACUGCAGGGGAGACUGGAAUUCCUGGUGUAGCGGUGGAAUGCGCAGAUAUCAGGAGGAACACCGGUGGCGAAGGCGGGUCUCUGGGCAGUAACUGACGCUGAGGAGCGAAAGCGUGGGG